rnacentral:sRNA from 1 species
GCUUUGAUUUCGACAUGAAAACCCUGGUGACCGUUGCAGUUAUUGGAGCUGCCAUCAUUGGUGAAUGGGCAGAGG